AGCUAUUUAGCUUAAAGAAAGCCUGUGUUUUGAAAACAUAUGAUAAAUUUAUUAUUUAAUAGCUU
rnacentral:tRNA from 1 species